rnacentral:lncRNA from 1 species
CACAGAUACCGGCAUGUUUUUCUGUACCUCGUAUGUUUGUUAGCUCUUCUCCCUUUUUUUUAUGGAGAUUUCAGGCAUUUCCUGUGCGAAAAAACCGUACAAUUAUAUUCUUUAAUCACAAAUGAUUAAAUACACGUAUAAAAAAUGUGGUAUAACACAAAUGCCAAAAUCACUUAAAGUAAUCUACUCUUACAAAAACAAGG